GAUGAAGAACGUAGCAAAAUGCGAUAAGUAAUGUGAAUUGCAGAAUUCAGUGAAUCAUCGAAUCUUUGAACGCACAUUGCGCCCGCUAGUAUUCUGGCGGGCAUGCCUGUUCGAGCGUCAUUUCAACCAUCAAGCCCUAGGCUUGCGUUGGAGCCCUGCGGCUGCCGCAGGCUCCCAAAUCCAGUGGCGGGCUCGUCGUCGUACCGAGUGCAGUAAACAUCCUCGCUCAGGGAACGUGACGGGUUCUUGCCGUGAAACCCCCCACAUAUCAAGGUUGACCUCGGAUCAGGUAGGAAUACCCGCUGAACUUAAGCAUAUCAAUAAGCGGAGA
rnacentral:misc_RNA from 1 species